AACGCUAGCUACAGGCUUAACACAUGCAAGUCGAGGGGCAGCGGGGAGGAAAGCUUGCUUUCCUCCGCCGGCGACCGGCGCACGGGUGAGUAACACGUAUGCAACCUGCCCUUGACAGGGGGAUAACCCGGAGAAAUCCGGACUAAUACCGCAUAACGCUGAGGAGAGACAUCUCUCCGCAGCCAAAGGAAGCGAUUCCGGUCAAGGAUGGGCAUGCGUCGCAUUAGCUAGUUGGCGGGGUAAAGGCCCACCAAGGCGACGAUGCGUAGGGGUUCUGAGAGGAAGGUCCCCCACAUUGGUACUGAGACACGGACCAAACUCCUACGGGAGGCAGCAGUGAGGAAUAUUGGUCAAUGGGCGCGAGCCUGAACCAGCCAAGUCGCGUGAGGGAAGACGGUCCUAUGGAUUGUAAACCUCUUUAGUCGGGGAGCAAGAGGCGGUACGUGUACCGUCAGCGAGAGUACCCGAAGAAUAAGCAUCGGCUAACUCCGUGCCAGCAGCCGCGGUAAUACGGAGGAUGCGAGCGUUAUCCGGAUUUAUUGGGUUUAAAGGGAGCGUAGGCCGUCUGUUAAGCGUGUUGUGAAAUGUAGAUGCUCAACAUCUGAAUUGCAGCGCGAACUGGCAGACUUGAGUGUGCGCAACGUAGGCGGAAUUCGUGGUGUAGCGGUGAAAUGCUUAGAUAUCACGAAGAACUCCGAUUG
rnacentral:rRNA from 1 species